rnacentral:rRNA from 1 species
GCUCAGAACGAACGUUGGCGGCGUGGAUUAGGCAUGCAAGUCGAGCGAGGAUGGUCUUUGUAGCAAUACAAGGGCCAAGCCGAGCGGCGAAAGGGGCAGUUAUGUGUGGGUAACGUACCUCCCGGUUCGAGAUAGCUACGGGAAACUGUAGGUAAUAUCGAGCGACGUAGUUGGGUCUCCUGAUCCGACUACCAAAGGUCCGCCGCCGGGGGAGCGGCUCACAUGGUAUUAGCUAGUUGGUAGGGUAAUGGCCUACCAAGGCAAAGAUGCCUAGCAGGUGUGAGAGCACGACCUGCGCCACUGGCACUGAGACACUGGCCAGACACCUACGGGUGGCUGCAGUCGAGGAUCUUUGGCAAUGGGCGCAAGCCUGACCAAGCGACGCCGCGUGUGCGAUGAAGGCCUUCGGGUUGUAAAGCACUUUCGGGGGGGAACAACUCAAUGAGUGAUCCCCAAAAGAAGCACGGGCUAAGUUCGUGCCAGCAGCCGCGGUAAGACGAACCGUGCGAACGUUGUUCGGAAUCACUGGGCUUAAAGGGCGCGUAGGUGGUUUGCCAAGUCGGGGUUGAAAUCUUUCGGCUCAACCGGAAAAGUGGCUUCGAUACUGGCAAGCUGGAGGGAGGUAGGGGCGGAUGGAACUUCCGGUGGAGCGGUGAAAUGUGUUGAUAUCGGAAGGAACGCCGGUGGCGAAAGCGAUCCGCUGGACCUCUUCUGACACUGAGGCGCGAAAGCCAGGGGAGCAAACGGGAUUAGAUACCCCGGUAGUCCUGGCCCUAAACGAUGGGUACUGAGUAGUGGACUUGCAUGGGUUCACUGCUGAAGCAAAAGUGGUAAGUACCCCGCCUGGGGAGUAUGGUCGCAAGGCUGAAACUCAA